AGCAGCUUAGCUCAGUCGGUAGAGCAUUCCCUUUACACGGGAAAUGUCGUGAGUUCGAUCCUCCCAGCUGCUA